rnacentral:rRNA from 1 species
UACGGAGGGAGCUAGCGUUGUUCGGAAUUACUGGGCGUAAAGAGUACGUAGGCGGUGAUUCAAGUCAGAGGUGAAAGCCUGGAGCUCAACUCCAGAACUGCCUUUGAAACUAGAUCGCUAGAAUUGUGGAGAGGUUAGUGGAAUUCCGAGUGUAGAGGUGAAAUUCGUAGAUAUUCGGAAGAACACCAGUGGCGAAGGCGACUAACUGGACACAUAUUGACGCUGAGGUACGAAAGCGUGGGGAGCAAACAGG